ensembl:snRNA U6 U6 spliceosomal RNA
UUGCUUCAGCAGAACAUAUAUUAUAAUUGGAAUGAUACAGAGAAGAUUAGCAUGGCCCCUGCACGAGGAUGACACGCAAAUUCCUGAAGCAUUCCUUUUUCUU